UGGCGGCGUGCUUAACACAUGCAAGUCGAACGGAAAGGCCCUGCUUUUGUGGGGUGCUCGAGUGGCGAACGGGUGAGUAACACGUGAGUAACCUGCCCUUGACUUUGGGAUAACUUCAGGAAACUGGGGCUAAUACCGGAUAGGAGCUCCUGCUGCAUGGUGGGGGUUGGAAAGUUUCGGCGGUUGGGGAUGGACUCGCGGCUUAUCAGCUUGUUGGUGGGGUAGUGGCUUACCAAGGCUUUGACGGGUAGCCGGCCUGAGAGGGUGACCGGCCACAUUGGGACUGAGAUACGGCCCAGACUCCCUACGGGAGGCAGCAGUGGGGAAUAUUGCACAAUGGGCGGAAGCCUGAUGCAGCAACGCCGCGUGCGGGAUGACGGCCUUCGGGUUGUAAACCGCUUUCGCCUGUGACGAAGCGUGAGUGACGGUAAUGGGUAAAGAAGCACCGGCU
rnacentral:rRNA from 1 species